rnacentral:rRNA from 1 species
CGUAGGUGGCGAGCGUUGUCCGGAAUUACUGGGUGUAAAGGGCGUGUAGGCGGGAAGGUAAGUCAGAUGUGUAAUUCCAGGGCUCAACUCUGGCGCUGCAUCUGAAACUAUCUUUCUUGAGUGAUGGAGAGGGAAGCGGAAUUCCUAGUGUAGCGGUGAAAUGCGUAGAUAUUAGGAGGAACACCAGUGGCGAAGGCGGCUUUCUGGACAUUAACUGACGCUGAGGCGCGAAAGCGUGGGGAGUAAACAGGAUUAGAUACCCUGGUAGUCCACGCUGUAAACGAUGGGUACUAGGUGUAGGAGGUAUCGACCCCUUCUGUGCCGCAGUUAACACAAUAAGUAUCCCACCUGGGGAGUACGGCCGCAAGGUUG